UUCAGUAAGACCUGGGGGGUAUACCACGAACCUCGUUGAACAUACCCAGGCUUUCUUGGGAAAACCUGGCUCGACAGAGCCGCAACUCGCAAUCACAGUUAAAUGGUACCACGACGCUCACUUUAGAUUAAAUUAGUUGAACCAGGUUUUCCGCUUUAGGUUCAAUGCGCGUUCACAUAAAAGGGGCCGUUGUAUUUCAUCCAAGGCGAGCAAUGUAUUAUUAUGAACUCCUACGAGGAAUUCAAAGUUCAAAUCACAGCCAAGGGGAACACGGUUGCCCAUAAUAUGGCUAGGGUG